GCCAGCAGCCAUAUCACCCUUGCAACCCACUGAAGCUCAGCAGGUGUGAGCCUGGUCAGUACCUGGAUGGGAGACCUCCUGGGAAAAACUAAGGUUGCUGCUGGAA
rnacentral:rRNA from 1 species